CCCCUCAUGGUCUAGUGAUUAGGAUGUGGUGCUCUCACUGCCGUGGCCUGGGUUCGAUUCCCGGUCGGGGGA
rnacentral:tRNA from 1 species